rnacentral:ribozyme from 1 species
CAGCCCGCUGGCCUCUAACCUCCCACGGAGAAGAACAAGUAGAGAAGGUUAUCGAUCCAUCCCGUUCAUCUCCAUUCAUCAUGGUCUUUCUUGACUUGCUGUUGAGAGCACCCUUCUGCCGCC